GGUUGAUCCUGCCAGUAGUCAUAUGCUUGUCUCAAAGAUUAAGCCAUGCAUGUCUAAGUAUAAGCAACUAUACUGUGAAACUGCGAAAGGCUCAUUAAAUCAGUUAUAAUUUAUUUGAUAGUACUUUUACUACUGGAUAACCGUGGUAAUUCUAGAGCUAAUACAUGCAAACAAAGCCUCGACCUCUGGAAGGGGUGUAUUUAUUAGAUACAAAACCAACCUGGGCAACCAGUUCUUUGGUGAAUCAUAGUAACUUCUCGGAUCGCAUAGCCUUGUGCUGGCGACAAGUCAUU
rnacentral:rRNA from 1 species